GCACCUUCGGGUGUGAAUUAGCGGCGAACGGGUGAGGAACACGUGAGAAAUCUGCCUUCAACUCUGGGAUAACUCCGUAAAAACGGGGCUAAUACCGGAUAUGAGAUCUACAGGCAUCUGUGGAUCUGGAAAGUUUUUCGGUUGAAGAUGAUCUCGCGGCCUAUCAGCUUGUUGGUGAGGUAAUGGCUCACCAAGGCGACGACGGGUAGCCGGCCUGAGAGGGCGACCGGCCACACUGGGACUGAGACACGGCCCAGACUCCUACGGGAGGCAGCAGUGGGGAAUAUUGGGCAAUGGAGGAAACUCUGACCCAGCGACGCCGCGUGCGGGAUGAAGGCCUUCGGGUUGUAAACCGCUUUCAGCAGGGAAGAAGCGAAAGUGACGGUACCUGCAGAAGAAGCACCGGCUAACUAUGUGCCAGCAGCCGCGGUAAUACAUAGGAUGCAAGCGUUGUCCGGAAUUAUUGGGCGUAAAGAGCUCGUAGGUGGUUCGU
rnacentral:rRNA from 1 species